rnacentral:piRNA from 1 species
UGGAGAGAAUGCUUUUCUGUCGAGGUUAAA